rnacentral:rRNA from 1 species
UACGGAGGGAGCUAGCGUUGUUCGGAAUUACUGGGCGUAAAGCGCACGUAGGCGGCUUUGUAAGUUAGAGGUGAAAGCCCGGGGCUCAACCCCGGAAUUGCCUUUAAGACUGCAUCGCUUGAAUCCGGGAGAGGUGAGUGGAAUUCCGAGUGUAGAGGUGAAAUUCGUAGAUAUUCGGAAGAACACCAGUGGCGAAGGCGGCUCGCUGGGCAGUGGCUGACGCUGAGGCGCGACAGCGUGGGGAGCAAACAGG